rnacentral:rRNA from 1 species
ACAUGUUUACAGCAUAUCAUUAAUGCACCAAAUCCCAUUAGAACUCCGCAGUUAAGCAUGCUCAGGCUAGAGUAGUACUGGGAUGGGUGACCACUCGGGAAGUCCUAGUAUUUUACAUGCC